GAUGAACGCUGGCGGCGUGCCUAACACAUGCAAGUCGAACGAAACUUCAUUAUCACCUUGCGCUUGCACUUACCGAUUGAGGGAUGAGUGGCGAACGCGUGAGUAUCUCCUUUUCAGCCUGCCCUAAAGAGGGGGAACACACUCGGAUACAGGAGCCAAUCUCCCAUAACAAUCAUUAGAGCUUCGUACCUAUGUCAAAGGAGGGAAUCGUUCCGCGUUUGGAUAGGUCCCCGGCGCAUUAGCUAGUUGGUAGGGUAAAGGCUUACCAAGGCAAUGAUGCGUAGCUGAAUUGAGAGGUUGAUCGGCCACAUUGGGACUGAGACACGGCCCAAACUCCUACGGGAGGCAGCAGUAGGGAAUCUUCGACAAUGGGCGAAAGCCUGAUGGAGCAACGCCGCGUGGGUGAAGAAGGUCUUCGGAUCGUAAAGCCCUGUUGUUAGGGAAGAAAGUGAGUAGGUGUAACUGUUCACGUUUCGACGGUAUCUAAACAAAAAGCCACGGCUAACUACGUG
rnacentral:rRNA from 1 species